rnacentral:rRNA from 1 species
AGUGAACGCUGGCGGUAGGCCUAACACAUGCAAGUCGAACGGCAGCACAGUAAGAGCUUGCUCUUACGGGUGGCGAGUGGCGGACGGGUGAGGAAUACAUCGGAAUCUACUUUUUCGUGGGGGAUAACGUAGGGAAACUUACGCUAAUACCGCAUACGACCUACGGGUGAAAGCAGGGGAUCUUCGGACCUUGCGCGAUUGAAUGAGCCGAUGUCGGAUUAGCUAGUUGGCGGGGUAAAGGCCCACCAAGGCGACGAUCCGUAGCUGGUCUGAGAGGAUGAUAAGCCAAACUGGAACGGAGACACGGUCCAGACUCCUACGGGAGGCAGCAGUGGGGAAUAGUGGACAAUGGGCGCAAGCCUGAUCCAGCCAUAUCGCGUGGGUGAAGAAGGCCUUCGGGUUGUAAAGCCUUUUUGUUGGGAAAGAAAAGCAGCAGGUGAAUACCCCGCUGUUCUGACGGUACCCAAAGAAUAAGCAACGGCUAACUUCGUG